UAAAAUAUGGAAUUUUUCACAUUAUAAAGCGAUCAUAUGAUUCCUAUUUCUAGAUUCAUGAAAAAAAAAUAUGGUUAAAGUUUAUAUGUUUAUUUAUGCUAUGAUUAUUUUUUUUUUCAUAUUUAUUUCUACAACAAAUAGCGCUGAGGUUGUCUGCCGAAGGAAUCAUGAUUGUCGAGGUCUUGUGUGUAUCCUUCCUUUGGUUCAAAGCUGCGUUCUAACAGAAAAAAUUCCUGAAAAAGGGAUUUGUACAUGUGUCGAGAGGUACCAGAAAAAAGUGCACAAUAUUACGUAGUGACUUGUGAAUGUGUAAAUAAGCACAAAAAGUUAAAUAAGAAAAUAAAAUUAUGUUAGUCCUUUUAUGAUUUA